rnacentral:rRNA from 1 species
GGACGAACGCUGGCGGCGUGCCUAACACAUGCAAGUCGAGCGGGACAUACGGCGGAGACGAAGUUUCGGAUGGAGUCGAAGAGGUAUGUUCUAGCGGCGGACGGGUGAGUAACGCGUGAGCAACCUGUCCUUCACAGGGGGAUAACACAGCGAAAGUUGUACUAAUACCGCAUAAGACCACGGGGCUGCAUGGCCCAGGGGUCAAAGGAGCAAUCCGGUGAAGGGUGGGCUCGCGUCCGAUUAGAUAGUAGGUGAGGUAACGGCCCACCUAGUCGACGAUCGGUAGCCGACCUGAGAGGGUGAUCGGCCACAUUGGGACUGAGACACGGCCCAAACUCCUACGGGAGGCAGCAGUGGGGAAUAUUGGGCAAUUGGGGGGAAACCCUGACCCAGCAACGCCGCGUGAGGGAAGAAGGUUUUCGGAUCGUAAACCUCUGUCCUUGGUGAAGAGGAAGAGACGGUAGCCAAGGAGGAAGCCCCGGCUAACUACGUGCCAGCCGCCGC